rnacentral:rRNA from 1 species
AUUGAACGCUGGCGGAAUGCUUUACACAUGCAAGUCGAACGGCAGCACGGACUUCGGUCUGGUGGCGAGUGGCGAACGGGUGAGUAAUGUAUCGGAACGUGCCCAGUCGAGGGGGAUAACGUAGUGAAAAUUACGCUAAUGCCGCAUACGAUCUAUGGAUGAAAGCGGGGGAUCGCAAGACCUCGCGCGAUUGGAGCGGCCGAUAUCAGAUUAGGUAGUUGGUGGGGUAAAGGCCCACCAAGCCAACGAUCUGUAGCUGGUCUGAGAGGACGACCAGCCACACUGGAACUGAGACACGGUCCAGACUCCUACGGGAGGCAGCAGUGGGGAAUUUUGGACAAUGGGCGAAAGCCUGAUCCAGCCAUUCCGCGUGCAGGAUGAAGGCCCUCGGGUUGUAAACUGCUUUUGUACAGAACGAAAAGGUUUCUACUAAUACUAGGAGCUCAUGACGGUACUGUAAGAAUAAGCACCGGCUAACUACGUGCCAGCAGCCGCAGUAA